rnacentral:lncRNA from 1 species
GCACACGCACGCGCGGACCGGGCCGGCGGACGCGAGCGCGGAGCGCGAAGAAUCCCUGGAAUGAGGCACCGCCCACCCUGAGCCGGGCUCCGCCAGGCCAGCCAGGCCACGCCCUCGGUCACGCCCCUCACGGAGCAGGUGGGGGCUGAGCCCAGUGCCUCAGAGCCUGGAAGGAAGCUCAUCUCCACUGUGACCCAACUGGAUGGAGUCCACAUUGGGCCCAUUGUGAGUAGUUGUGACCUGAGCUUCAUGCCCCUUUGGCGAUUAGUCGAAGAGCUGUGAUUGAGGGCAAUGUUCCAAGGUCUGGAGAUGGACCCUUUUAAACCUGACAGUGAGGCCAGGCACGGUGAUUCACGCCUGAAAUCCCAGCACUUUGG